GUCUUACCAGGCAAGGUUAGA
rnacentral:miRNA from 17 species